AGACUUACUUGGCAGAGGCAAUCCCAUGAUCAGAGUGCUUUUUCCAGGUUGCAGCUUAUCCAUUGCUUUCUGAACAUGCUGACCCCUGUAAUUUCACCAAAUGUGGGAAACCCAACCCCAUCAUGUGGUCCUGGGGGAUUGUGUUUACACUCUACCCUG